rnacentral:rRNA from 1 species
GCGAAUUCUCCACUGAUUUCUGGUUGAUCCCGGCAGAAGUCACUGCUAUCGGGGUUCGAUUAAGCCAUGCGAGUCGAGAGGGUUCAGACCCUCGGCGGACUGCUCAGUAACACGUGGAUAAUCUGCCCUAUGGUGGAGAAUAACCCCGGGAAACUGGGGAUAAUACUCCAUAAGUCAGGAGUACUGGAAUGUCUCCUAACUGAAAGUUGCGGCGCCAUAGGAUGAAUCUGCGGCCGAUUAGGUAGUUGUUGGGGUAACGGCCCAACAAGCCCGUAAUCGGUACGGGUUGUGGGAGCAAGAGCCCGGAGAUGGAAUCUGAGACACGAUUCCAGGCCCUACGGGGCGCAGCAGGCGCGAAAACUUUACAAUGCAGGAAACUGUGAUAAGGGAACCCCGAGUGCCCGUACACGCGGGCUGUCCCGGUGUUUAAAACACAUCGGAAGAAAGGGCCGGGCAAGACCGGUGCCAGCCGCCGCGGUAAUACCGGCGGCUCGAGUGGUGACCACUUUUAUUGGGCUUAAAGCGUUCCUAGCUUGAUUUUGUAAUCUCUUGGGAAUCUCACGGGCUUAACUGGGAGGCGUCUAAAAGAUACUGGGAAAUCUACGGGACCGGGAAAAGUUAGAAGUUACUUCCGGGGGAAAAAGGGAAUUGCUGUAAUCCUGGGAGGGACCCCGAAUGGCAAAAGCAUCUUUACCAAAACGGCUUUCCACGGGGGGAAACGAAGCUGGGGGAACGAACGGGGAUUUUUUACCCCCGGGUUUCCCAGCCGAAAACUUUGCCGUUUGGUGGGGCCGGGAACUUCAAUUGCCCCGGGGAGCCAAAUGGAAACAGGGAAAGGGGCGCCC